CUCCUGCCUCGGCCUCCCAGGUGGCUGGAAUUACAGAGGCGGGUGAGCACAAGGAAACACCUUUCGCUGAUGAAGGAGGAAUAUGAAGCAGCAGUUGCAGAGGUGAAGAGGAAGAGGAGUAUUUGCCAGGAAAACUAGGAUGGACCCUUCCCAGUAUACAUACAGGGAGGAUGUAAAAGUCAAAAACUUCCGUCAAAAUUAAGGCCAACACCAAGAAAGAAAAACCAGUCCUCUCAGACAUCACGACAUUGCCCCAGAGAGGAACCCAGGAUUCUCACACCAUGACACCAUCCCCAUCUGUUUCUCCAGCCACAUUUGGACAUGGAUCUGGCAGCCUAAGACCAGUUUGUAUGCUGCGAAAUCAAUGAGAAGAGAAUUGUGUUGGCAAGAAAUGUGCCUGGUGAAU